rnacentral:rRNA from 1 species
UACGUAGGGGGCUAGCGUUGUCCGGAUUUAUUGGGCGUAAAGAGCGUGUAGGCGGCCAGGUAGGUCUGCUGUGAAAACUCGAGGCUCAACCUCGAGACGUCGGCGGAAACCAUCUGGCUAGAGUCCGGAAGAGGCGAGUGGAAUUCCUGGUGUAGCGGUGAAAUGCGCAGAUAUCAGGAGGAACACCUAUUGCGAAGGCAGCUCGCUGGGACGUAACUGACGCUGAGACGCGAAAGCGUGGGGCGCAAACAGG